AUGCACGCUGGCGGCGUGCCUCAUACAUGCAAGUCGCGCGAACGGACGAGAAGCUUGCUUCUCUGAUGUUAGCGGCGGACGGGUGAGUAACACGUGGAUAACCUACCUAUAAGACUGGGAUAACUUCGGGAAACCGGAGCUAAUACCGGAUAAUAUUUUGAACCGCAUGGUUCAAAAGUAAAAGACGGUCUUGCUGUCACUUAUAGAUGGAUCCGCGCUGCAUUAGCUAGUUGGUAAGGUAACGGCUUACCAAGGCAACGAUGCAUAGCCGACCUGAGAGGGUGAUCGGCCACACUGGAACUGAGACACGGUCCAGACUCCUACGGGAGGCAGCAGUAGGGAAUCUUCCGCAAUGGGCGAAAGCCUGACGGAGCAACGCCGCGUGAGUGAUGAAGGUCUUCGGAUCGUAAAACUCUGUUAUUAGGGAAGAACAUAUGUGUAAGUAACUGUGCACAUCUUGACGGUACCUAAUCAGAAAGCCACGGCUAACUACGUG
rnacentral:rRNA from 1 species